GAAAUGCGAUACUUGGUGUGAAUUGCAGAAUCCCGUGAACCAUCGAGUUUUUGAACGCAAGUUGCGCCCAAAGCCAUCCGGUUGAGGGCACGCCUGCCUGGGCGUCACGCAUCGCGUCGCCCCUGCCAAACAUCCUUAAUGGGUAAGCAUGGUGAUGGGGCGGAAAAUGGCCUCCCGUUCUUGUGUCCGGUUUGCCUAAAUAAGAGUCCCCCUUAUGGUGGAUGCACAACUAGUGGUGGUUGAAAAGACCUUCGUUUUGUGUUGUGUGUUGUUAGCUGUGAGGGAAGCUCUCAUUUUAGACCCUACUGUAUCGUUAAAAAUGAUAUAUCGACCGCGACCCCAGGUCAGGCGGGACUACCCGCUGAGUUUAA
rnacentral:misc_RNA from 1 species